AAAGUGUUUUUCUUCUUUUCCACCAAUUAAAUGUUCCUGCUUCUUUUCUUUAUUACCCAUCUUAAUUGUUUUCUUUUUGCCCUUUAGUAAAACGGUCGAUUUGCCUGCAAGAAACCUCGCUCCAUUUUAAUUGGGUAUUUCCAAUUAAUUCCUCGGCAUUUUAUUUGGUCACUAGGCUGAAUUGCUAUCGAUCUCUUCGAAGCUCCACACACCAGACGAGACAGAAAAAUUGAGAGAUUUCUGGGUUUCAAUCCGCAAAUUGCUUAGACUGUGGUGAUCCAGCACACGAAUUAAGUUCUC